rnacentral:sRNA from 1 species
AGUUGAGAGUGUUGGGAACAGAAGGAUCCUUAAAUAACAGAUGCUCAGAGCCACAGGCAGCCAGGCACCAGGGCAGCAAGUGGCCUGGGUCAUUUGCGCAGUGCUCGCAAGCUCAAGGCUUCUCGGAUAUGGAACUUGGAACUCUGGGACAAACAGAGGCUACGAGGGCUAUGGCUAUGGCUAUGGCUAUGGCCAGGAUAACACCACCAACUAUGGAAUUAACCAGCGCUUAGAUAUGGUGCCGCAUUUGGAGACAGACAUGAUGCAAGGAGGCGUGUACGGCUCAGGUGGAGAAAGGUAUGACUCUUAUGAGUCCUGCGACUCGAGGGCCGUCCUGAGUGAGCGCGACCUGUACCGGUCAGGCUAUGACUACAGCGAGCUUGACCCUGAGAUGGAAAUGGCCUAUGAGGGCCAAUACGAUGCCUACCGCGACCAGUUCCGCAUGCGUGGCAACGACACCUUCGGUCCCA